rnacentral:lncRNA from 1 species
GGGCACUAUAAUAAAAAAUGUAUUUAAUCCUCUAUAACUCUUUGACACAAUUGACACAUUUUCUCUUGUUCCUGAAGCUCCUUAUAGCAUCCAAUUUCUAUUUCCAAUUUAUGAGCACUAAUAAUGAAUUUUGUUAACAAUUGUUCAUGUUUCUGAUUUUCUAAUUUCUCAAAUGUAUAAUUUUUCCAUAUUUUAUCGUACUUGAUCUUGUUGAAAAGAAAAAGUUUGAUUUUUUUUA